GCAUAUCAAUAAGCGGAGGAAAAGAAACCAACAGGGAUUGCCUUAGUAACGGCGAGUGAAGCGGCAACAGCUCAAAUUUGAAAGCUGGCCCUUUUAGGGUCCGCGUUGUAAUUUGUAGAGGAUGAUUCGGCGAGGGCUCCUGCCUAAGUCCCCUGGAACGGGGCGUCAUAGAGGGUGAGAAUCCCGUAUGCGGUAGGUUGCCUUAGCCAUGUGAAUCUCCUUCGACGAGUCGAGUUUUUUGGGAAUGAAGCUCUAAAUGGGAGGUAAAUUUCUUCUAAAGCUAAAUAUUGGCCAGAGACCGAUAGCGCACAAGUAGAGUGAUCGAAAGAUGAAAAGCACUUUGGAAAGAGAGUUAAAAAGUACGUGAAAUUGUUGAAAGGGAAGCGCUUGCAACCAGACUUGUCCGCAGUUGCUCAGCCGGUCUCCUGACCGGCGUACUCUUCUGCGGCCAGGCCAGCAUCAGUUCGGGCGGUCGGAUAAAGGCCUCGGGAAUGUAGCUCCUCUCGGGGAGUGUUAUAGCCCGGGGCGGAAUGCGGCCAGCCUGGACUGAGGAUCUCGCUUCGGCAAGGAUGCUGGCGUAAUGGUUGUAAGCGGCCCGUCUUGAAACACGGACCAAGGAGUCUAACAUCUAUGCGAGUGUUCGGGUGUCAAACCCGUACGCGUAAUGAAAGUGAACGGAGGUGGGAACCCGCAAGGGUGCACCAUCGGCCGAUCCUGAUGUCUUCGGAUGGAUUUGAGCAAGAGCAUAGCUGUUGGGACCCGAAAGAUGGUGAACUAUGCCUGAAUAGGGUGAAGCCAGAGGAAACUCUGGUGGAGGCUCGCAGCGGUUCUGACGUGCAAAUCGAUCGUCAAAUUUGGGUAUAGGGGCGAAAGACUAAUCGAACC
rnacentral:rRNA from 2 species